GUAGAAACUCGGACCCGCCGUCUGCGACAUUUAUACGGUGGAUAAACGGAACAGUCGACGGGAAUGGCCUCCCCGGAAUUGGGUGUGAAGACGUGGCAGCCGGUAGAGGGCGUUUUGUUGUCGUCUGCCGAUACCCUUGUCAGUUUGGAUCUCAUGUCAGCGGUCUAUCCUCACAGACAUAAUGAUCAAUUUAAAGAGGAUGUAAUUAGAUUUAAAGUUCUGGAGGAAAGAAAGACUGCUGAAGUUCGUCGAUCGGAUGUGGUUCAAAUGACCAGAAGCGAAUCUAGGAGAGUUUUGUACGAGCUGCCACGUUUAUAUAUGAGAAACAUACUGAGGCGGAAGACUAAAGGGGCAUAACUGUCACCGGACUUCUUUUUCCUUGAGGCCAGUACAUCGUUUAACUGACAAAACAGUAAACCGUCAGCAACACUUAGGGCCAUCAUUCGAUAGAUGUGAUUCCAGAUUUUAACAGGGACACCGAGACACGACAUGGUGUCUG